GGGCGCGUAGCUCAGCUCGGUAGAGCACCCGCUUUGCAAGCGGGGGGCCUCGGGUUCAAAUCCCGACGCGUCCA
rnacentral:tRNA from 1 species